CAAGAUACCGCCCCUAGUUCUAACCCAUAAAACGAUGCCAGCUAGCGAUCCGGCCGACGUUCCUUCCGAUGACUCGGCGGGGCAGCUUCCGGGAAACCAAAGCUUUUGGGUUCCGGGGGAAGUAUGGUUGCAAAGCUGAAACUUAAAGGAAUUGACGGAAGGGCACCACCAGGAGUGGAGCCUGCGGCUUAAUUUGACUCAACACGGGAAACCUCACCAGGCCCGGACACCGGAAGGAUUGACAGAUUGAGAGCUCUUUCUUGAUUCGGUGGGUGGUGGUGCAUGGCCGUUCUUAGUUGGUGGAGCGAUUUGUCUGGUUAAUUCCGAUAACGAACGAGACUCUAGCCUGCUAACUAGGCGUAUUUCCGACAUCUCAAAGGCCCGCCGGCCUGGCGUUCGCGCCUAGUCGCGCGCGGUUUUUACUGUCGGCGUACAAACAACUCUUCUUAGAGGGACAGGCGGCUUCUAGCAGCACGAGAUUGAGCAAUAACAGGUCUGUGAUGCCCUAAGAUGUUCUGGGCCGCACGCGCGCUACACUGAAGGAAUCAGCGUGUCCUCCCUGGCCGAGAGGCCCGGGUAACCCGCUGAACCUCCUUCUUGCUAGGGAUUGGGGCUUGCAAUUGUUCCCCAUGAACGAGGAAUUCCCCGUAAGCGCGAGUCAUAAGCUCGCGUUGAUUACGUCCCUGCCCUUUGUACACACCGCCCGUCGCUACUACCGAUUGAAUGAUUUAGUGAGGUCUUCGGACUGGUACGCGGUGGCGUUUCGACGUCGCCGAUGUUGCUGGGAAGAUGACCAAACUUGAUCACUAGA
rnacentral:rRNA from 1 species